CCCUUAGAUGUUCUGGGCUGCACACGUGCUACACUGGCAGGUUCAGCGAGCUUCAUGCCCUGAUCUGAAAGGAAUGGGAAAUCUUUUCAAAACCUGCCGUGCUUGGGAUAGAUAUUUGCAAUUAUUCAUCUUCAACGAGGAUUGCCUUGUAAGCGCACGUCAUCAGCGUGCAUUGAAUACGACCCUGUAUUCUGUACACACCGCCCGUCGCUCCUACCGAUUGAAGUUUUCGGUGAGUUGACAGGAGGAUUUUUUUGAAACUGGUUCGCCAGUGGAUUUUAGAUCCAAAUGCCAACGAAUCGAUGGCUUUAGAGGAAGGAGAAGUCGUAACA
rnacentral:rRNA from 1 species